rnacentral:lncRNA from 1 species
GUGGGCAGUCAACUCCAGUACAGCCAGGCCUCGCCUCUCUAGGUUUGAUAACUCCAUGCGAUCUGGCAUCUGUCAAAAUAGAUGCCACUUUGGUUUAAGUACCCACAUAAUCUUUUUGGUAUAUAUGAUACUCAUUUCAUAGCUUAGGGUAGUGCAAGGUAUAAAAGUAGUUUAGAGGUACUUACACUCGAGGUCGGACUUUGCUUGAGCCUCAAUCUCAAACAACUCUGCUCUGAGGUGCUCCCCCUGCUCCUUAGCAAAGCACGCCGGUCUUGGUUGAUAGCCAAAACACAUGUGUUGCUUGUACCCACUUCAUUGGUGCUGUUAUUCCUCAUAAGCAGCCGUUGCCUGAAGCGGUUAAGGCUACACGGACCUGCAAGUUUAAAUGGUGGCGGUCAGCUUCAUGUUUUUGCACAUCGCAGUGUAACAUUUUUCGUUUACAACUCUUUUCUCUUUUUUGUAGCAGACAACUUGCCUGUAGCACGUUCACCCGUCCCACCCCCGGGAUCCGGACGCUAGUUGGUUGAGCUUCUAUGCUUUCACCU